rnacentral:rRNA from 1 species
CCUACGGGGGGCAGCAGUGGGGGAUAUUGCACAAUGGGGGGAACCCUGAUGCAGCGACGCCGCGUGGGUGAAGGAGCGUUUCGGCGCGUAAAGCCCUAUCGGCAGGGAAGAAGGAGGACGGUACCUGACUAAGAAGCCCCGGCUAACUACGUGCCAGCAGCCGCGGUAAUACGUAGGGGGCAAGCGUUAUCCGGAUUUACUGGGUGUAAAGGGGGCGCAGACGGCAGCGCAAGCCAGGAGUGAAAGCCCGGGGCCCAACCCCGGGACUGCUCUUGGAACUAUCAAGCUAGAGUACAGGAGAGGAA